ACUGAAAAUUAUCGGCUUAAUACGUUUCACGCGUUAACACUACGAAUAUUACGUGUUAGCACGGAGAUUCCGUUAUGAGCCCAAAGGCCGUCGACUGUGCGGCGUCAGCUGGACUCACCAGUGACUCGCCGGACAGGGACCGAGUUCACCUGUGGGAAGUGGCAGGUGAUUCCAGCGUCUCUGCUGUGGGGAGUAGGAGCGGUUGACGCCAGCGCUUCGACAAAUUCACACUCAAGAAGAGGUUCCAAAGGAGAUGAAGCGGAUUGAGAAACUUGCCAAGCCUUCACAGGAGAGAUCUGUAGGAGCCUUUCAUGUUUCAGCAUUAAAGCUCUUUGCUGUUGGAGGCCCCUUUUUAGGAUCAAUAACUGUGGUGGAAAUGCUGGUGGCGUAGUAAUGCAGUGGAAAGAGUAUAUAUCGCCCUAUUCAUAGCACACCUGUUAUAAUUUGAUUAUUUUCUCAUAUACAGUGUCUUAAUAUUGUGUCAUUGGUGUAUUGUGUUAGUUCAAGGGAGCAAUAGCCAAUCACAUAGAGUAGUAAUGUCUUUGAACAAAGCCUGUACUUCUCAAACAAGAUAAUUAUUAGGAGUUGAAUGUAGAUCGUGUUUGAAUGCUAAUGAUGUGUCUGGCUAGGAUUUCUAUUCUGAGUACACCUGACACUGUUAUUUUUAAGGGCUGUAUAAAACAAAUUGCACAAAUUGA